rnacentral:tRNA from 3 species
GUCGAAAUAGUUUAAUUGGUAAAACGAUUUUCUUGUAAAAAAUUAUUUUCGGAUCAUUCCCGAAUUUCGACA